rnacentral:rRNA from 1 species
GUGCAAAGGUAGCAUAAUAAUUUGCCUCUUAAUUAGAGGCUGGAAUGAAGGAACAUACGAGAGUAAAACUGUUUCAUUUUUACCUAAUGAAAACUAACCUCUAGAUGAAGAGAUCUAGAUAACUAAGAAAGACAAAAAGACCCUAUUGAGCUUUACCCUACCAGAAUUCCCCCAAAGUGAAUCUAUUUAAUAAAUUCUGAGCGGGUUUUGUUGGGGCGACAGAAGAAGAACUAAAUCUUCUUUAUUUAAUGAGGUAAUAAACCUAAUAAUGAUCCGGAACCCCCGAUUAAAAGAUUCAGCUACCAUAGGGAUAACAGGCUAAUUCUUUCCGAGAGCCCAUAUUGACGAAAGAGAU